CUUCCCACUAUCAAUCGGACUCUAAUUCUCUUUGCUGCCCCUCUUUUUUUUCUGGGUCUUCAUCUCCAGUGCUGCCUUUGCUUCACUUGUGUGGGUAGGUCUUUUUUUUUCCGCUUCGCUUCGGUAUCUGCGCAGUGACCUCUUUCAGCGUGUGCACGCAUGCACUUGUACUUGACAUUGCACCCCCGUUUUUCCUUCGAGCGUUCUCCACCCGAGAAAUCACGCAGAAAAGAACAGAUAAGCGCGCAAAAGAGUAGAUGAGAGGGGUAAAUCGCAAGCAGCCGCUCACUUAAAAGAUAUACGAAAACUCAAGCGUAUUGUGUUUGCCCAACGAAUGUAAAGGUGUAUGUACGCAUCGCCCGCCCCGCCCACCCCACCUCACCUCCGCGAGCCGUCGUGCGUUUUCGGUCUCCUUUCGCAAGUUCUUUCAGUUUUGUCUGCCUCGGUUGCUCCGGGCUGUGAGGAAGAGCUUCUCUCUCACCCCAUUUUGCCGCAUCUCCUGCUGUACUUCUUCCAAUUGCAGGCAUUGGCCUUGACAGUUGUUUGCAGGCAUUGCCUCUGGGAGACGUUGUUUCUCUUUGUGGCGUUUCUUCGCCAUCUUUUGCUGCCCAUCAGGCCGCUGUCGCCUGUAUUUCAUUUCGUUGUUUUUUUGUUGUUGUUUCUCGGCUUUGCUGCCUGCACAUACACACACGCAAUGGGGUGCGUCACGGCCCGCGCGGCCCAUGAUGGGAUGGCCAACAGCAAGAAGAGCGGCAAGCUCUCGAGAGAGGAAUCCGUGCAGACCGCCGCGGAAAAAAAGCCCAACGAGGCAGAGGUGGACUACGUUGCACAGCUUGUGGCCGGUUACACGACCGACUACCCGCAGAAAGGAGCGGUCACCACGUAUGAGGACUACCGCGGCUUUGAAAUCUCCACGACAAAUCACGUUUCGAAGAACAAGGCGGAUAAACUCUGCAAAUGGAGCGACCAAGCCCUGGAAGACCGCCUGAACCUCAAUAACGACGUCUUCUUCAAUCCACAGAAUCCCUUCUCGUGGCCAAAGGAAGUCAUCACGAACCAUCUCACCUCGCCUUCCUUCGCCGAUAGAAACACCGUUCAAGAGAUGACGCGCAAGUGAGAGCUGCAGUGAACGUAGGCCGCGUUAGCCAGUGGUGCUUGUUGAACUCUUUUGUGUGUGCCCUCCUUUCCUGCUUGCUGUUGCCGAGCUGUAGGAUGGAGAAGCGUCGCUGAGAAAUUAUCCCCUUUCGUCAGCACUGUCUGGGCACCUCCUCUGUUUUGCAAUGCUCUAACCGUACACAACACAUGUGGGUUGUUUCCGAAAAUGUUCCGCAUGAAAGCCGCGCCUGUGCACGCUUUCUCAGCGACUUUUUUUUCUUAGAUCGCCGUGUAUUGUUGCUGAUUCCAACACGUACCCCUUCCUAUUCCCACACACCGGUGCCCGCCGUUUGGGCACCUUAGCUGUAGAUGUGAUCUACUAUUCCAACGCCAAGCGCGUAGCCCGACUCAUGCUGCGCGUACGCAAAUCUACCCAUGGUAAGAACACGGGGAGAAAAAGAGAGAUGCUAAAAACAACAGCAACACACACACACACACACACUACUACUACUACUACUACUACUACUACUACACGGAAAGCAGAAACAAAAACAGACGCGAAACCCGCACCUGCAUACUUCUUUCUGCUGACGACGCUUGCGACUGCUAUCUCCACCCCUUCUUUUGCUUUCGUGUGUGGUGUCGCUGCUGCACUUUGCCUGUUUUUUGUUGUUUUCGUUGUUCUACUUCUUAUCUGUGCUGCUUUUCUCUUCCUCUUUCUGCGUACACCAUUACAGCGCUCUGUGCCGUCGUUCUAGUUGGGUGUGUCCUCCUCUCCCGUUUCCAUGGCCUGCCCCUCGUGCGCCGAUUCACCAGCUCACCGUUCGCGACCGGUGGAAGUCAAGGAGCAUAGUGGCCGAGAGGCAUACAUCCCGUUUCUGGCUCAGAAGUGGACGAUGCCACGCGCAAGGCAGUCAGACCGCGGAAAAGCAUGAAGGUAAGCGAUGAGCUUCUACCGCGAUGCGUCGUGGAGCUCAUGUGUAUGCGUACGUGCACAUAUGUGUCUGUGCGUGUGCGUGUGUCCUGCGGUGUGCGCGUAUUUGUGUCUGUUCUGCUUGUGUAUGAACACCCAGACUCCGUUUUUUUUUUGUUUGCUUUCAUGCCUCCUUUCUUGUCUUGAUUUUAUUCAGCGAGUUUCGCGUUGACUGCUCCCCUCUCUGCUCCCUUCCUCCAUCUCUUUUAGUCCGCCGUUAUUACAUGUCGCCGUGUGCACCCCGCAUGUCUCCGUUUCCGUCUUCGUCUCUCUUCGUUCUUUCCGACAUUUCUGCAGACGCGCGACACGCCUGAGAGGGAAGCGAUACGGGAGAGGCUGAGAGGGAAGAAAAGGGGGGAGAAGCGUCACACGAGGAGGACAGCGGCGGUGAUCAAGGUACGGCGACAAACAACACGAACUUGCGAAUAUUCAUGUACAACACCCUUUCUUCGUUUCGUUUUCUGUUCUUCUAUUUUCACUUUGCGUUCACAUUCUGCUCGCCUUUUCCUUCUUUUUUGUUGUUGAUCUACGAGUGGGUGGCGUGUUGACUAUGCAGCAGCGAUAACAGCCGGAGAUCCCCUUUUUUGUCCUUCUCUUGCCCUCGACAUCUCUUCUUUUGUUGCCACAUUCUCACUUAGAACGUCUUCCCACUGCGUUUUCCUCCUUCUGAGUGAGCUGUGCUCUCACUCUGAAUUCAAGCGCUUCUCCUUCCUUUUCGUGAGCUUGCCGGGCCUCGGAGGAGGUGGGGGGGGGGCGACAUCUUCCGGGAAUUAUGAGAAGCAGAAUCUUAAGGCGCGUGUGCUCUCUCUCUUCGUGUGUUUUCGGGCUCGCAUGCAUUUGUUGUAGCCUAGACUGCCUUCGAGUCGUUUCUCUCUUUCCUCACGGCGCAGCGGACGGCUAAAUGAAUCCGUUUUAUGACUGCUCUGUGUCGGCCAGUUGUCGGUCUUGCGAUGCGCCUCCUCAGCUACUUCAGCGUGGCGGUUUGCCCUUUCCAUUUUUCUCUCUGCCGCUUUCGUUGUCUACGUGUGUUUCACUACACCAUGCGAGCGACGUGUGUGUCGUGCUGUCGCCUUUUUCUUUUGGGCCUGACGCGCACGCAGGGCUAUGUGACUCUUCGUGUGUAGGUGUGUAGCGCUGAUCGUUACUUAACCUUGCAUGUGUCUUUUUGCUUUUCGUUCCCUUCGCUGAUCUCCCUGCCUGUGUCUGUGUGUUUGUGCCUGCGUGUGUCUCUCUCGGUCUCUGUGCGUGCGCUUCCACGUUGAUUCGCGUUGAUUUUCUGCUUCUUUCUUUUUCUUUACCGAUUCGCUUUCGCCACUUUGCUCGCCAGCUUAUAGCACACGUGCGUCGCUCGCUGCUGCUUUCUCCUCUCCACCCGCCCCUCCCCCCUUCCCUUCCCUUCCCGUUCGGAUUGUACCACCUCCACGAGCCGCUCUCCUUUUUUUUUUCACGCUGCUCUGCAGCGACAUGUGAUGGGUCUCUGUUGACAUUCUAAUCGCCCCCCCCAACCAAACAACCAACAGACGGAAUGGUGACUGCUCUCUACCGUUGUGUCACCUGGGGAGUGCUUUCGCUAUGUUCUCCACUUCUGCAUCAUCCGGUGUUUCCGUGCUCAUUGCUCAUCUUUCCAUUUGUUUUUUUCAGCGUGCUUGCGACUCGUCUCACCCCUCAACUGAAGCAGCAGGGGCUGCUCAAGCAUGCUGUAUAAGGCAGCGCAGAACACACAGGAAAAUGAUGCAACGAACGAGUUUUCACUAUCCAUGCGCAAUCCGAUGACGGGAGAGCCGAUACAAUCUCUUUGUUCGUGCGCCUGCAUGUUUUAUCUCCUCUCUUUCCAGUCCGCGCCGCCCCUGUGCGAAUCGUUGCAACACAGAAGUGCCCAUGAUGGAGCAUACCGUAUACGUGCGCGUUUUUUUUCAAUUGCUUUCCGCGUGUGUAGCCUUGGGCGUUUAUCUUUUUUUUUUCUUUAUCGUCAUUCCUCUUUCGCGUUUCCCAAUCGUCAUCUCCAUCGCCAUUAUCAUCAUCAUCAUCGCUAAGCGAAAUGUGCUCUGCACAUG
rnacentral:misc_RNA from 1 species